rnacentral:lncRNA from 1 species
AGGGCGAUGGACCCCCCCCUCGGGGGGGGCGGCUCGGUGCAGACCCCCGCGCCCACGUUAAAGAGCCUGGAGAGCGAGGGGAGGCAGCGCAGGCACCGACAGUGCGACCCUGCGUUUGCUAUGCUGGUGUUCACACGUCACAUCACAUCAGUAGAUGCCCAUUCCAACAGCAUGAGACCAUCACAGCAAACCAGUGCGUGUCCAUCAUUCAAGUGUCCCUCACAUCCUACCACUCCACCACUGGGUGUCCGUCAUAUCUGACCAGCGUGUUGGUACCCCAUCUCACCAGGAUGCGCCCAUCCCAUCUCACCAACGUGCGCCCGAUCCAUAUUACCACUAUGUUCCAACCCCAUCUCAUAAGGAAGUGCCCAUCCCAUCUCAUCAGUGUGUGUUCAUCCCACCCCAUCAUGAUGUGCUCAUCCCAUCUCAUCAAGACGUGCGCAUCCCACCUUAGCAGGAUGUGCCAAUCCCACCUCUCCAGCACGUACCCAUCCUAUCUUACCAUGAUGUACCCACCCCACCUCACCAGUAUGUGCCCCUUUGAUCUCACCAGUACGUGCCCACCUCAGAACCCAGA